GAGGGAGGGGGAGGACAGGUCUUCUUCAGGUCAAGGUUCACCGUGAUGCGCGUCCCUUUGACGGCGCGUGCGCAUUUCUUGACAGCUGAUUGGCAACCACAGACCGCUGGCCACACGCUAACCCGGCACUGAACGCGCCCCGAGGCCUGAGUGCAGAAGCAGGGCCAGGAUUGGACGCAGCCAGUACUUCCUGCUUUCAAGGCGCCGGAAGCAGGCUAUCCCCGAAGGAGCGAGUGCUUCUGCCCGUGGUAGGCUCUGUGAUCUUGAGGACGUCCUCUCUCUGAGUGACCCCUCUCGAUUCCCUAGGGCCGCGCUUGCCCUCUGUCCGAGUCUCCUGCAUCGGCGCCUGGACGCGGUGAGGGCACUGUGGGAAGGCAGUAAGCCAGAGAGAGAGCCAUUUCCAGAAACCAAACCAGGUGGCUUCCUGAUCUUGGACUUCCUGCAUCCUGAACUGAGAAAAUAAAUGUUUAUUAUUUAAGCCACACAAUCUAUGAUAUCAGUUCUAGGCAACAUAACCCUUGGUAACGCUCGAGUUCAGAGGAACUUUUACUUUAUGUGAGUCUUCGGCUCUGCCUACGGGGACCUUUACCCAGCAUCAGCAGGAACCACCCUCAGGAGCCCUUUUGUGCUGCCCGGCACGUCCACAGCAAUUAGAGCAAAAGGACAGAGAACCAGUUCUCUAAGAGCAGGAACUUUGUAUGUCUUUGAUCAUUGCUGUCUUCCAGAGCCUAGAACAGAACCUGGCACACAGUAGAUGCUCAAUGUUGUAUUUAUUAAAUGAAUGAAAUUAAAUGGAACAAACAUA